CAGAAUCAUGCAAACAGUAUUUUGAGACCGAAACUCCCGAAUCUGAUGAGGGUCCCGCAUCAUGGUAACAUUAAGAGUGAACAACUGCUGUGAGUGCUUUGGCCUGCGGUCUGGCAGUCUGUACAUUGCAAUCACAUACAUGGUUAUAGGGAUCCUCAACAUUGUUCUAUCAUUAAUUGGUCUGGCUAGCGCAGGGGGAGAAGCCGCAAAGUACGGUCGCAUCACAGCUGAUGGACUGUUAGUCAUCCUGUGUAUACUCCUCCUCAUAGGAGUA